CUUUGUCUUUCCGGCAUUUUACUCCUUCCUCAAAGGUAAACAGAGGCUCGACUCGGGGAGGCGCACGCACCUUCCCUCCAACAGUGUUCAUAUUGUAGAGGGAAAACUAUCCAGGCACCACAGGCACAAGCCCUAUACGACACUGCAGUGGGAUCUGUACCUACAAAGGCUCUGUGCUUCUACCGUUUUGGAGAGGCGGGGGUGUGCGAGGUGGGAGGUACACGCUCAAAAGGGCCACGGCAAACCUGAACGUGACGGAGGAGUGGAGGAUGGCUGAUAGAAGACGCACCCGAGUGAAAAGCUGGGCCGGAGAAAUUCAUCAAGCUCUUUAGCAAUUAGCAUAUGGGCCUAAUUAUCAUAUGAAACCCAUCCUCCAUGACUUCUUAUGCUUCUACAUUAUCACCUAUACCACUGAAAAAUGGGGAGCAUGAAUGACCCCAGUAUUGUGUUAUACCUCUCCUCUCCCAAGGCCUGCUUGAGUUACUACCAUAACUCCAAUGUUCCUUUUUCCAUUAUGCAGUUAAGCCAGACAGUUAAUUAUCCAGGAGCAGGGAGGCCGGGUCUCUUUGCUGGCUGCGAUAACGAUAUGCUUUGCUGGGCAGAGAAUGAACAGGGCCGUUCCACGGGGAGCUGUGCUGAUGUCAGGCAAUCGUUCAAAAAAAAAAAAAAGGGACCCA